CCCUUAGAUGUUCUGGGCUGCACGCGCGCUACACUGAUGCGAUCAACAAGUUUUUCCUAUGUCGAUAGACACGGGUAAUCUUUUGAACUCGCAUCGUGAUGGGGAUAGAUUAUUGUAAUUAUUAAUCUUCAACGAGGAAUUCCUAGUAGGUGCAAAUCAUCAGUUUGCAUCGAUUACGUCCCUGCCCUUUGUACACACCGCCCGUCGCUGCUACCGAUUGGUUGAUCUGGUGAAUUAUUCGGACUGUCGGCUGAAGGGGUUUCCUCAUCUGCCAGCGGAAAGUCUUGUUAACCCUAUCAACUAGAGGAAGCAGAAGUCGUAACA
rnacentral:rRNA from 1 species